rnacentral:rRNA from 1 species
GACGAACGCUGGCGGCGUGCCUAAUACAUGCAAGUAGAACGCUGAAGGAGGAGCUUGCUUCUCUGGAUGAGUUGCGAACGGGUGAGUAACGCGUAGGUAACCUGCCUGGUAGCGGGGGAUAACUAUUGGAAACGAUAGCUAAUACCGCAUAAGAGUAGAUGUUGCAUGACAUUUGCUUAAAAGGUGCAAUUGCAUCACUACCAGAUGGACCUGCGUUGUAUUAGCUAGUUGGUGGGGUAACGGCUCACCAAGGCGACGAUACAUAGCCGACCUGAGAGGGUGAGCGGCCACACUGGGACUGAGACACGGCCCAGACUCCUACGGGAGGCAGCAGUAGGGAAUCUUCGGCAAUAGACGGAAGUCUGACCGAGCAACGCCGCGUGAGUGAAGAAGGUUUUCGGAUCGUAAAGCUCUGUUGUAAGAGAAGAACGAGUGUGAGAGUGGAAAGUUCACACUGUGACGGUAUCUUACCAGAAAGGGACGGCUAACUACGUG